UAGGGAAUACUGGGCAAUGGUCGAGAGACUGACCCAGCCAUGCCGCGUGCAGGAUGAAGGCUUUCUGAGUCGUAAACUGCUUUUACCAGGGAAGAAAAAAGGGGAUGCGUCCUCUACUGACGGUACCUGGUGAAUAAGCACCGGCUAACUCCGUGCCAGCAGCCGCGGUAAUACGGAGGGUGCAAGCGUUGUCCGGAUUUAUUGGGUUUAAAGGGUGCGUAGGCGGCUUUUUAAGUCCGGGGUGAAAGCCCGUUGCUCAACAACGGAACUGCCCCGGAAACUGGAGAGCUUGAGUACAGACGAGGGUGGCGGAAUGGACGGUGUAGCGGUGAAAUGCAUAGAUACCGUCCAGAACCCCGAUUGCGAAGGCAGCUGCCUAGACUGUAACUGACGCUGAGGCACGAAAGCGUGGGGAGCGAACA
rnacentral:rRNA from 1 species